rnacentral:lncRNA from 1 species
AGUUCAUCUAGAAUCACUUUCAAGUGUUGACAGAAAUGACAUGUUCUCACAAAACUGUCUUUUUUUUCUUUUUUUUUUUUCAUAGUCAGUAGACAUAUCUCAAACAGCAAGCAUUUGAAACUGAGGAUUUGAUGGAAAACUGAGUGAGGAGUUCAUGAACAACUUACAGGCAACAGCUGAAGUUCCAAAUAAGAGGGCCACAAAGAGCAGAUUGCCCAGGACCAUGUCCAGGUGGCUUUUAAAAAUGUCCAAGGAGGCUCACUCCACCACCUCUCUGGCAGCCUGUCCCAGUGCCCUGUCACCAGCACACAUAAUUUGCAACUACCAGAGAAGCACAGCAUGGGCGUGAGUCAACAGCAGGUGAGGACAUGACUUCCUUAGCACUGGCUUGUCACACAAGUAUUUAGGGUUCACAUUUCUGUGUAUUUCAUGAAGCUAAAAUAACUCAGUGCUUGUAACUCACAAAUAUAUAAUUCUAUUCAGUGAAGAAUUCAAGUCUUGUCAAUUAGAGGAUGAGAGGAUGAAACAUGUUUUAGAGGAAUCUUUCAAAUGUCCUUUUAGUCAACAGCAGGUAUUGAUUUUUUUUUUUCCUCUUGCACUGUUGGAUAUAAUAAGAAAAAAAUGUUAUAAAAGGAGAUAAAAAAUAUAUCUAAUGGCAGUGCACAGUUUAGGAAUUGAGAUGCUACCUGCAAGGAGCUUUUGAAGAUGCUAACUGCUAAAAGCAAGAAGGGUUAGAGAAAGGAGCACUCUAUUAAUUCUCUGUGGCUUACACAUCAUCUUAAGCAGUGGUCAGUGCAGAAAACAAGGUUCUGGCCUGGAUGGACCUGCUGCAUGACCUGACAUGGUUGUCUUCUGUGUGUUUUACAAUUUCACUUAUGAAUUGGUAGGAAAGGUGGGAUUUAAACUGAAGUACAUUGUAGUAAGAACGCACAGUGAAACAUGAGUGUGGAAUAUACACUGGGAUACAAACCAUUAAAAAACUAAUAGACAGGUGCUACUACAUCUCUCCUGGUCUUACCAGGAGAAUGUGUAUACCCUCAUGGAUAGUGUCAUCCUUGUUUUUCUUGGUCUCUGAGGAAUAAAGUAUGAAACAGCAAGAAAAGAGCUGCCCAACCUGCCCUGAGAUCUUAUUUCUAUUCUUCAGUAAUUAGAGGCUGUCCCAGCUCUUUCAGAAUUGAGUCUUUGCUAACAGAUGAAUCUUAACACUGCAAACAGAAAUGUCAUUGUAAAUUAAAAAGUGAAGGCAAAGAAACACUACCCUUUUUGCCCCUCAAAAGAGGAGUCCACUACUUAUAUAUUUGUUUCUAGAUAGUUUUCUUCAAGCGAAGGAGGGAAACAUGGCUUGACUGGG